AACGUAGGGGACGAGCGUUAUCCGGAUUUACUGGGCGUAAAGCGCAUGUAGGUGGCUUGAAAAGUUGGACGUGAAAGCUCCUGGCUUAACUGGGAGAGGUCGUACAAAACUAGCAAGCUUGAGGUUGGAAGAGGAGAGCAGAAUUCCCGGUGUAGUGGUGGAAUGCGUAGAUAUCGGGAGGAAUACCAGUGGCGAAAGCGGCUCUCUGGUUCAAUACUGACACUGAGAUGCGAAAAGCGUGGGGAGCGA
rnacentral:rRNA from 1 species